GACGAACGCUGGCGGCGUGCUUAACACAUGCAAGUCGAACGGAAAGGCCUGCUUUCCCUUGUGGAUUGCGGGUACUCGAGUGGCGAACGGGUGAGUAACACGUGAGUGUUCUGCCCCCAACUUGUGUAUAAGCCUGGGAAACUGGGUCUAAUUCCCGAUAGGACUGCAGGGUUGUGCCUGUGGUGGAAAACGAUUUUCUAGUGGUUGGGGAUGAGCUCGCGGCCUAUCAGCUUGUUGGUGGGGUAAUGGCCUACCAAGGCGGCUACGGGUAGCCUGCCGGAGAGGGUGGACGGGCACAUUGGGAAUGAGAAACGGCCAAGAAUCGUACGGGAGGCAGCAGAGGGGAAGAAUGAACAAUGGGCGGAAGCAUGAAGCAGCGAGGCCGAGUGGGGGAUGACGGGGUUCGGGUUGUAAACUCCUUUCGACCGAGAGGAAGCCACCUGGUUGGAAGGGUGGUGACGGUAGUGGUAGAAGAAGCACCGGCUAACUACGUG
rnacentral:rRNA from 1 species